rnacentral:rRNA from 1 species
CAGCCCUAAACGAUGCGCGUUAGGUGUAUCGGUGACCACGAGUCACCGAGGUGCCGAAGGGAAACCGUGAAACGUGCCGCCUGGGAAGUACGGUCGCAAGGCUGAAACUUAAAGGAAUUGGCGGGGAGCACCACAACGGGUGGAGCCUGCGGGUUUAAUUUGGACUCAACGCCGGGAAGCUCACCGGAUAAGACAGCGGAAUGAUUGCCGGGCUGAAGACCCUGCAUGACCAGCUGAGAGGAGGUGCAUGGCGUAGUCGUGU